CAGUUCUGUCUAGAAGCACACACAGGCCUGGGGCGGUUUUGGAGACAUCCACGUGUGCUGGAUCCACGGCCCUUCUGAGGGGAAGGUCCUGCUUAAUCAUUGGACACGGACUCUUAAUAAAACGGUCUUCAGUUCCAGAUUCCUUCCCAGCAAGCUAUAGCUUAAGUCCAUUUCCUUCCGUGAAAGGGACAGGACUCCAUCGAGUUAUGGAAUUCCUCAGAGCCCUGGGCCUGUCCCCAGGGUGGAUUAGUCAUGUCCAGAGCACACGCCUAAUCCCGCCUCCGGGAAGGCUGCCUCCUGUGUAAAGACUGCCUGCCUGUCCCGCCCAGCCUCCCUGGUCGUUGGGGUCAUCUGGGUGGCAGGUGAUGACAGUCCCCCCCGCACACGCAUACGUGUGCUGCUGCUCUGUGUGCAAGGCCCCAUCACAGUGUGUGUUCUUUUUUCAUCCCUCCCUCAUUUUCUGGGAUUCUGGAUCCUAACUGCUUCCCUCCUGGACCUUGCAGUGACAUUAGCCCAGGGAAGAUCUCAUUCAGCAUAAGGAAGAGCUCUCACAUCUAGAGUUUUCCCAAGUGAGGAGCAGGGGCUUUAGAGGUGAGGCCAGCUGGGCCCGAAAGCUUGGCGGGGCUGUCCCUCAGCAGGCCUGCUCUCUGGUGGCCCGGGAGGCUUUGUUGGCCAGAGGCUGUCACCAGCCACAGCUGACUCACAGCCCCGUGGAGUCUUUCUUCCGUUUUCAUUGUUCCCAUUGUUGCCUGUUGGGCGUUUUCCCAACUUCUUUGGCC